rnacentral:lncRNA from 1 species
GGCAUCCCUAUCUCACCCAGGCUGGAAACACAGUGGCUUUUCAUGGCCCAGUCCCACUCUGAUUGGCACAGGAACUACUUGCUGUUCACCUAAGCUGGCUCGCCUCUCCUUUGGCAUUAUGGUGCUAGACGAUUUGGUGACCUCCUAUUCUGGAGAGCUUGCCAUAUUAACGUUGAGCUUAGUGUGGACACCAAAUCAGCAUAGACCAUUACAGUAACUCCCAAGUUUGAGAAAUCCAUCAGUCUUAAUCCUCUCUGGUAGAGUGUUUCACCAUACCUGGAUAAACAACUGUUUUUUUUUUUUAAUUUAAAAUUUUUCCAGAUUAUACCUUUGCUACUUUCAAUAUUCAUUUUCUGACAUUUUGCAAUCCAUGUUUUCUCUUUCAGUCCCACCCCUUCAAUGUCCUCAGGAAGGCAGGUCUUGCAUCCUUGGUAAAUGAGAUGAGAGCAGAAGGAAGUUCAAAAGGUGAAACAGACAAGCAAGACAUUGUUGGAAUUGAUACAAGCCAACAGCCAAUAGUCUUCCUUGCUAAUAAGAAGAUCUGUGUUUGAAUGAA